rnacentral:lncRNA from 1 species
AGAACCUAGAUGUUCCUCAACAGUGAAAUGGAUACAGAAAAUGUGGUGCAUUUACACAACUGAGUACUACUCAGCUAUUAAAAACAGUGACUUUAUGAAAUUCUUAGGCAAAUGGAUGGAUCUGGAGGAUAUCAUCCUGAGUGAGGUAACCCAAUCACAAAAGAACACACAGGAUAUGCACUCAAUGAUAAGUGGAUAUUAGCCCAGAAUCUCAGAGUACCUAAGAUACUAUUUGCAAAACACUUAAAACUCAAGAAGAAGGAAGACCAAAUCCAGGCAGUCAUGGUGCAGGCAGAGCUGAGAGUUCUAUGUCUUCAUCCAACAGCUGCUAGUGGAAGACUGCCUUCCAGGCACAUAGCUUGAGAGUAUUAUGCCCACACCCAACGUGACACACAUACUCCAAACAGGUCAUACCUAUUUUAACAAGGCCACACCUCCAAAUGGUGCCACUCUGUGGUCCAAGAAUAUACAGACCAUUACAAUAUUGCUUUAAAGAAAAUACAUUUUUACUUCA